ACGGAAGGCAGCAGUGAGGAAUAUUGGUCAAUGGACGGAAGUCUGAACCAGCCAAGUCGCGUGAAGGAUGAAGGUAUUAUGUAUUGUAAACUUCUUUAGCAGUGGAGUAAUAAGGGGAUCGUGAUCCCUGAUGCAAGUACACUGAGAAUAAGGAUCGGCUAACUCCGUGCCAGCAGCCGCGGUAAUACGGAGGAUCCGAGCGUUAUCCGGAUUUAUUGGGUUUAAAGGGUGCGCAGGCGGCUUUUUAAGUCAGUGGUUAAAUCGUGACGCUCAACGUCAUCACGCCAUUGAUACUGGAGAGCUUGAUUGCGGUCGAGGUUUGCGGAAUUCGUUGUGUAGCGGUGAAGUGCAUAGAUAUGACGAAGAACACCGAUUGCGUAGGCAGCAGACCAGGCCGUAAAUGACGCUCAUGCACGAAAGUGCGGGGAUCGAACAGGAUUAGAUACCCUGGUA
rnacentral:rRNA from 1 species